rnacentral:rRNA from 1 species
AAAAAUAUUCAACGAUGGAUAUCUUGGUUCCCAUAACGAUGAAGAACGCAGCGAAAUGCGAUAUGUAAUGUGAAUUGCAAAAUCCCACGAACCAUCAAAUCUUUGAACGCAACUGGUGCUGGUGUCAAGCCAGCAUAUUUGUAUCAGUGU